rnacentral:rRNA from 2 species
UAAUACGUAAAAGACGAGUGUUAUUCAUCUUUAAUCGGUUUAAAGGGUACCUAGACGGAAAAUCAAGCUUAAUUAAACUAAGGACUAGUUUUCUAGAGUUUGACAUGAGAAGGUACGAACUAUCAGAGGAGAGAUAAAAUUUGUUGAUACUGGUGGGACGGACAACGGCGAAGGCAAUCUUCUACUAAAAACUGACGUUGAGGGACGAAGCCUUGGGGAGCGAGAAGGAUUAGAUACCCUAGUAGUCCUUGGAGAAAAUUAUGAGUGCCAUAGACUAAAGUGAAAAAGAAGUUCUUUUAAAAGAACUUUGUAUCUGAGCCUUAAUUGGAUACAAAGGUCUCGAGUAGCAGUUUAUAAAUGAAAGUGUAAGCAUUCCACCUCAUGACUAAAGCGGCAACGCCCAAAUUGAAAUCAUUAGACCGUUUCUGAAACCAGUAGUGAAGUAUGUUAUUUAAUUCGAUAACCCGCGAAUAACCUUACCACGUUUUGAAUUUAUUAAACAAGUGUUGCACGGCUGUCUUCAGUUAAUGUCGUGAGAUUUUGGUUUGUUCCAUUAAUUAACGAAAACCCUUGUUUCAUUUUUAUAUGAAAUAGUUCACCGUUAUAUUGGAAAGAUAAAAGGGAUCAAGACAAGUCAUCAUGGCCUUAAUAAC